AUGCCGGAAUGAGUAGCGAGAUUGAAGUGAGAAUCUUCGAGGCCGAAUAUCUAAGGUUUCCAGGGUAAAGCUGAUCUGCCCUGGGUAAGUCGGGGCCUAAGGCGAGGUCGGAAGACGUAGCCGAUGGACAACAGGUUGAAAUUCCUGUACUGCGAUAUAUCAGAAAUGUGGGGACACAGAAGGAAAGUGUGAGCCGGGAAAGGAAAGACCGGUGCAAGCACAGGAGGAGGGAUACAGGCAAAUCCGUAUCCCAAUCCAAUGGUGUUACGCGGAGCGAACAAAAGUAGCGAAGCACACAGACCAUCUGUCGAGAAAAGCCGCUAUUGUGUAUACCGUACCCGUACCGUAAACCGACACAGGUGGAUGAGGAGAGAAUCCUAAGGCCGGCGGGAGAAGCAUUGUUAAGGAACUCGGCAAAAUGACCCCGUAACUUCGGGAGAAGGGGUGCUCACGCAAGUGAGCCGCAGAGAACUGGCCCAAGCAACUGUUUAGCAAAAACACAGGUCUAUGCAAAACCGAAAGGUGAGGUAUAUGGGCUGACGCCUGCCCGGUGCUGGAGGGUUAAGAGGAGAUGUUAGAGCAAUCGAAGCAUUGAAUUUAAGCCCCAGUAAACGGCGGCCGUAACAAUAACGGUCCUAAGGUAGCGAAAUUCCUUGUCGGGUAAGUUCCGACCCGCACGAAAGGCGUAAUGAUUUGGGCACUGUCUCGACAAUGCACCCGGUGAAAUUGAAAUACCAGUGAAGAUGCUGGUUACCUGCGCCAGGACGGAAAGACCCCAUGGAGCUUUACUCUAGCUUGAUACUGGGAUUCGGUAUUGCAUGUACAGGAUAGGUGGGAGACUAAGAGGUGAUGACGCCAGUUGUCACGGAGUCGAUGUUGGGAUACCACCCCUGCAGUACUGGGUUUCUAACCUGCGGCCGUGACCCGGCCGGGGGACAAUGUCUGGUGGGGUGUUUGACUGGGGCGGUCGCCUCCGAAAGGGUAUCGGAGGCGCUCAAAGGUUCCCUCAGAAUGGUUGGAAACCAUUCGAAGAGUGCAAAGGCAGAAGGGAGCUUGACUGCGACACCGACGGGUGGAGCAGGUACGAAAGUAGGACUUAGUGAUCCGGUGGUAUGAAAGUGGGAUUGCCAUCGCUCAACGGAUAAAAGCUACCCUGGGAUAACAGGCUUAUCACUCCCAAGAGUUCACAUCGACGGAGUGGUUUGGCACCUCGAUGUCGGCUCAUCGCAUCCUGGGGCUGUAGUAGGUCCCAAGGGUUGGGCUGUUCGCCCAUUAAAGCGGUACGCGAGCUGGGUUCAGAACGUCGUGAGACAGUUCGGUCCCUAUCCGGCGUGGGCGUAGGAUAUCUGAGAGGAGCUGUCCUUAGUACGAGAGGACCGGGAUGGACUGACCUCUGGUGCAUCGGUUGAGCCACCAGGCUCAUGGCCGAGUAGCCAAGUCGGGACGGGAUAAACGCUGAAGGCAUCUAAGCGUGAAGCCCCCCUCAAGAUGAGAUAUCCCAUAGAGUAAUCUAGUAAGACCCCUUGAAGACGACGAGGUAGAUGGGCAGAAGGUGGAAGUGUGGUGACAUAUGGAGCUGAUCUGUACUAAUAGGUCGAGGGCUUAAC
rnacentral:rRNA from 1 species